UACGAAGGGGGCUAGCGUUGCUCGGAAUCACUGGGCGUAAAGCGCACGUAGGCGGAUCUUUAAGUCAGGGGUGAAAUCCUGGAGCUCAACUCCAGAACUGCCUUUGAUACUGGGGAUCUCGAGUCCGGAAGAGGUGAGUGGAACUCCGAGUGUAGAGGUGAAAUUCGUAGAUAUUCGCAAGAACACCGGUGGCGAAGGCGGCUAUCUGGCCCGUAAUUGACGCUGAGGCGCGAAAGCGUGGGGAGCAAACAGGG
rnacentral:rRNA from 1 species